AUUGACCGCUGGCGGCAGGCCUAACACAUGCAAGUCGAACGAGUGGCGGACGGGUGAGUAAUGUCUGGGAAACUGCCUGAUGGAGGGGGAUAACUACUGGAAACGGUAGCUAAUACCGCAUACCAUCAGAUGUGCCCAGAUGGGAUUAGUUAGUUGGUGGGGUAACGGCUCACCAAGGCGACGAUCCCUAGAUGGUCUGAGAGGAUGACCAGCCACACUGGAACGGAGACACGGUCCAGACUCCUACGGUAGGGAGCUGGGGGGAAUAUUGCACAAUGGGCGCAAGCCUGAUGCAGCCAUGCCUCUUGUAUGAAGAAGGCCUUCGGGUUGUAAAGUACGUUCAGCGGGGAGGCGUUACCCGCAGAAGAAGCACCGGCUAACUCCGUGCCAGCAGCCGCGGUAAUAC
rnacentral:rRNA from 1 species